rnacentral:rRNA from 1 species
UAUUGCACAAUGGGCGCAAGCCUGAUGCAGCAACGCCGCGUGAGGGACGAAGGCCUUCGGGUUGUAAACCUCUUGUAGUAGGGAAGAAGCGACUGGGUUUUCCUGGGAGUGACGGUACCUGCAGAAAAAGCACCGGCUAACUACGUGCCAGCAGCCGCGGUAAUACGUAGGGUGCAAGCGUUGUCCGGAAUUAUUGGGCGUAAAGAGCUCGUAGGCGGUUUGUCGCGUCUGCUGUGAAAACCCGAGGCUCAACCUCGGGCCUGCAGUGGGUACGGGCAGACUAGAGUGCGGUAGGGGAGAUUGGAAUUCCUGGUGUAGCGGUGGAAUGCGCAGAUAUCAGGAGGAACACCAAUGGCGAAGGCAGAUCUCUGGGCCGUAACUGACGCUGAGGAGCGAAAGCAUGGGGAGCGAACAGGAUUAGAUACCCUGGUAGUCCAUGCCGUAAACGUUGGAACUAGAUGUGGGGACCAUUCC